UCUCCUAAAACCUAUUAUGACUCUCUCUAUUAUGACAUCUCUCAUCGUACUCUCCCCUAUUCUUCCUCCGACUCAUCCUUCCGGAUCCUCCGUGUCCUUUUCUCCCCCUCUCUUUUUCUAGCUCCCUCUCCUCUCCCCCCAUGCUCCCAAUCUGCUCAUACAUAUCUUUCUUAUGGUCCUUCCUUUUUCCCAGACUCUCUGGCAGUGGAAUUGUAGGAUGGCACUCCCCUGGUCCAUAUCUAAAAUCCAUGGAUGAAGCUCUUAAAGUCAUCACCACAAACUACUAAUAUUGCUGUUAUUCCUCAUCAUACUCAUCAUGCCAUUUUCAUGUGAAAACCUCAGUUAACUACUGAAAUUAUCAAGCUCUGUCUCAUGGAGGUAUCAGGAGCACUCUGCAUUGUCUGGUUCAAUAUGCAGAGAGAUUUUGGCUACACCCAGGAUCAACUGAUCCCUUGAAUAUACCAGAGUCUAAUUGUUCAGAAGCCACAUUGCUGACACUUUUUUAGCAUUCCUUGACAGUGAUUGAAGGAAUGUGUGCAUUCAAAUUGAACAUGGCAUAAGGGAAAAUAAGAAGAGUGAUCUCAAUUCCACCAAGAGAGGCAAAUCCUAAGGUAAUCAUGGAGACCUCCAUCAGAACUGCUGAUUGAUUUCACCUCUUCCUCCAUCUAAACGUGUGCUGCAGGAGAAGCAGCAAAAUUGAAAGUGCACCACAGGAAAAAACAAGGGAAAAUUUAUAAUACCGUACUGAAGAAUCAUAGACAUGUACAGACCAUGGUUGCAACUCCCAAUAUGAUGGUGUGAAGCUCUUUUGGAAGUUCCUACACACUCAUAUCAUCAUAGAAGAGCUAUAUACAAGGUUUCUAUUUAGAAGCUUCCCCGGGACUUAAUACAUAUUAUAGGACUGAAAAUUUGUCUGCAUUUUAUUUGAGCAGGAACAAAAAAAACAUGACACUCAUGAGUUACAUGCCGUAAAACAGCAGCUAUAUUGCAGACUUCAGACCUAUUGCUGCCAUAGUGUCCAUGCAUAACAGAAGUGACUUACUAAUUGUAUGCAGUAUGAUUAAGUCUAUGACACGAAUAAAUUCUCCUACUGAAAAAA